AAGAGACGUUGCCCUUCGGGUAUACCUCCCACCCUUUGUUAUUAUACCUUUGUUGCUUUGGCGGGCCCGUCCUCGGACCACCGGCUUCUGCUGGUCCAGUGCCCGCCAAGAGGACCUAAAACUCUGUUUGUUAAUAUUGUCUGAGUACUAUAUAAUAGUUA
rnacentral:misc_RNA from 1 species